GGGUGCCAGCCCAGGGUGUCGGGAAAGACUGGCCUGCCCUGGACACCCCCCCGGGCUGCCGUGGGAUUUAGCAGGACUCUGAGUGGUUCUGGCUCAGGCUGGCAGGCGGCAUGGCUUUGGGCUUGUGGGCCGGGCUCUGCCCUGGGGUCCAGAGCUUGCACUGGGGCCUCACCCUGUCUGUGUCUCUCAUGUUGCUGUGCCCCAGCUGGGAGGCUGUGGCGUGCUGGGUGUCGGCAUCUGGCUGGCCGCCACACAGGGGAGCUUCGCCACGCUGUCCUCUUCCUUCCCGUCCCUGUCGGCUGCCAACCUACUCAUCAUCACCGGCGCCUUUGUCAUGGCCAUCGGCUUCGUGGGCUGCCUGGGUGCCAUCAAGGAGAACAAGUGCCUCCUGCUCACUUUCUUCCUGCUGCUGCUGCUGGUGUUCCUGCUGGAGGCCACCAUCGCCAUCCUCUUCUUCGCCUACACGGACAAGAUUGACAGGUAUGCCCAGCGAGACCUGAAGAAAGGCUUGCACCUGUACGGCACGCAGGGCAACGUGGGCCUCACCAACGCCUGGAGCAUCAUCCAGACCGACGUGAGGCGUGGGCAGGUGGGCGGGGUCGGCGGGUGCCCCCUCCCCUCCUGCCUCAGCCCGACCUGAGCUUGCCCCCCAGUUCCGCUGCUGUGGCGUCUCCAACUACACUGACUGGUUCGAGGUGUACAACGCCACGCGGGUACCUGACUCCUGCUGCUUGGAGUUCAGUGAGAGCUGUGGGCUGCACGCCCCCGGCACCUGGUGGAAGGCG
rnacentral:sRNA from 1 species